GAUGAACGCUAGCUACAGGCUUAACACAUGCAAGUCGCGGGGCAGCAUGGGGUUGCUUGCAAUCCCCGAUGGCGACCGGCGCACGGGUGAGUAACGCGUAUCCAACCUGCCCUUCACCACGGGAUAACCCGGCGAAAGUCGGACUAAUACCGUAUGUUGUCCAUUGACGGCAUCCGAUUUGGACGAAAGGCUUGGCGGUGAGGGAUGGGGAUGCGUCCGAUUAGCCAGACGGCGGGGUAACGGCCCACCGUGGCUACGAUCGGUAGGGGUUCUGAGAGGAAGGUCCCCCACACUGGAACUGAGACACGGUCCAGACUCCUACGGGAGGCAGCAGUGAGGAAUAUUGAUCAAUGGGCGUAAGCCUGAACCAGCCAAGUAGCGUGCAGGAUGACGGCCCCAUGGGUUGUAAACUGCUUUUAUGCGGGGAUAAAGUGGCCCACGUGUGGGCUUUUGCAGGUACCGCAUGAAUAAGGACCGGCUAAUUCCGUG
rnacentral:rRNA from 1 species